rnacentral:rRNA from 1 species
UAGUGAGUUUGAUCCUGGCUCAGAACGAACGCUGGCGGCAUGCCUAACACAUGCAAGUCGAACGAAGCCUUCGGGCUUAGUGGCGCACGGGUGCGUAACGCGUGGGAAUCUGCCCUUGGGUUCGGAAUAACAGUUAGAAAUGACUGCUAAUACCGGAUGAUGUCUUCGGACCAAAGAUUUAUCGCCCAAGGAUGAGCCCGCGUCGGAUUAGCUAGUUGGUGAGGUAAAGGCUCACCAAGGCGACGAUCCGUAGCUGGUCUGAGAGGAUGAUCAGCCACACUGGGACUGAGA